GCUCAGGAUGAACGCUAGCGGCAGGCCUAACACAUGCAAGUCGAGGGGCAGCAUAUCUAGCUUGCUAGAUGAUGGCGACCGGCGCACGGGUGCGGAACGCGUAUGGAACCUACCUUUGUCAGGGGAAUAGCCCAGAGAAAUUUGGAUUAAUGCCCCAUGGUAACAUUAUAUUGCAUGAUAUUUUGUUUAAAGAUUCAUCGGACAAAGAUGGCCAUGCGUACCAUUAGUUAGUUGGUAAGGUAACGGCUUACCAAGGCAGCGAUGGUUAGGGGCCCUGAGAGGGGGAUCCCCCACACUGGUACUGAGACACGGACCAGACUCCUACGGGAGGCAGCAGUGAGGAAUAUUGGACAAUGGCCGAAAGGUUGAUCCAGCCAUGCCGCGUGCAGGAUGACGGCCCUAUGGGUUGUAAACUGCUUUUGUACGGGAAGAAACCACCCCUCGUGAGGGGAACUGACGGUACCGUACGAAUAAGGACCGGCUAACUCCGUGCCAGCAGCCGCGGUAAUACGGAGGGUCCGAGCGUUAUCCGGAAUCAUUGGGUUUAAAGGGUCCGUAGGCGGGCCUAUAAGUCAGGGGUGAAAGGCCACGGCUCAACCGUGGGACUGCCCUUGAUACUGUAGGUCUUGAGUUAUAGUGGGGUUGCCGGAACAUGUGGUGUAGCGGUGAAAUGCAUAGAUAUCACAUAGAACACCGAUCGCGAAGGCAGGUGACCAACUAUAUACUGACGCUGAUGGACGAAAGCGUGGGUAGCGAACGGGAUUAGAUACCCCGGUAGUCCACGCCGUAAACGAUGGAUACUAGCUGUCGGGACUUCGGUCUCGGCGGCCAAGCGAAAGUGAUAAGUAUCCCACCUGGGGAGUACGUUCGCAAGAAUGAAACUCAAA
rnacentral:rRNA from 1 species